rnacentral:rRNA from 1 species
AAUGAACGCUGGCGGCAGGCCUAACACAUGCAAGUCGAACGGAUCCUUCGGGAUUAGUGGCGGACGGGUGAGUGACGCGUGGGAACAUACCCUUUGGUACGGAAUAGCCUCGGGAAACUGGGAGUAAUACCGUAUGUGGUCGAGAGACGAAAGAUUUAUCGCCAAAGGAUUGGCCCGCGUUGGAUUAGGUAGUUGGUGGGGUAAUGGCCUACCAAGCCGACGAUCCAUAGCUGGUUUGAGAGGAUGAUCAGCCACACUGGGACUGAGACACGGCCCAGACUCCUACGGGAGGCAGCAGUGGGGAAUGUUAGACAAUGGGGGAAACCCUGAUCUAGCCAUGCCGCGUGAUCGAUGAAGGCCUUAGGGUCGUAAAGAUCUUUCAGGUGGGAAGAUAAUGACUGUACCACCAGAAGAAGCCCCGGCUAACUCCGUGCCAGCAGCCGCAGUAA